UACUCUCUUGUUUACUGCCGGUAAUUUA
rnacentral:sRNA from 1 species